rnacentral:rRNA from 1 species
CCUACGGGCGGCUGCAGUGGGAAUAUUGCACAAUGGGCGCAAGCCUGAUGCAGCCAUGCCGCGUGUGUGAAGAAGGCCUUCGGGUUGUAAAGCACUUUCAGCGGGGAGGAAGGCGUUAAGGUUAAUAACCUUGUCGAUUGACGUUACCCGCAGAAGAAGCACCGGCUAACUCCGUGCCAGCAGCCGCGGUAAUACGGAGGGUGCAAGCGUUAAUCGGAAUUACUGGGCGUAAAGCGCACGCAGGCGGUCUGUCAAGUCGGAUGUGAAAUCCCCGGGCUCAACCUGGGAACUGCAUUCGAAACUGGCAGGCUAGAGUCUUGUAGAGGGGGGUAGAAUUCCAGGUGUAGCGGUGAAAUGCGUAGAGAUCUGGAGGAAUACCGGUGGCGAAGGCGGCCCCCUGGACAAAGACUGACGCUCAGGUGCGAAAGCGUGGGGAGCAAACAGGAUCAGAUACCCGUGUAGUC